CAGUAGCCGCGGGAAUACGAAGGGUGCAAGCGUUACUCGGAAUUACUGGGCGUAAAGCGCACGUAGGCGGAUCGAUCAGUCAGGGGCGAAAUCCCAGGGCUCAACCCUGGAACUGCCUUUGAUACUGUCGAUCUGGAGUAUGGAAGAGGUGAGUGGAAUUCCGAGUGUAGAGGUGAAAUUCGUAGAUAUUCGGAGGAACACCAGUGGCGAAGGCGGCUCACUGGUCCAUUACUGACGCUGAGGUGCGAAAGCGUGGGGAGCAAACAGGAUUAGAUACCCCGGUAGUCCCUGUCUCUUAUAC
rnacentral:rRNA from 1 species